rnacentral:tRNA from 1 species
CCAUAGCUCAGUUGGUAGAGCCACUGAUUUGUAAUCAGUAGGUCGGCGGUUCAAGUCCGUCUGG